rnacentral:rRNA from 1 species
UACGGAGGGGGCUAGCGUUGUUCGGAAUUACUGGGCGUAAAGCGCACGUAGGCGGCUUUGUAAGUCAGAGGUGAAAGCCUGGAGCUUAACUCCAGAACUGCCUUUGAGACUGCAUCGCUCGAAUCCGGGAGAGGUGAGUGGAAUUCCGAGUGUAGAGGUGAAAUUCGUAGAUAUUCGGAAGAACACCAGUGGCGAAGGCGGCUCACUGGACCGGCAUUGACGCUGAGACGCGAAAGCGUGGGGAGCGAACAGG